rnacentral:piRNA from 1 species
UGCUUCCAUAGUCUGCAUGAGGAGGU